rnacentral:ribozyme from 1 species
UACCAUUUUUUUUUUUUUUCUUUCUUUCUCUCUUUUUCUUACUG